UACGAAGGGGGCUAGCGUUGUUCGGAAUCACUGGGCGUAAAGCGCACGCAGGCGGAUCGAUAAGUCAGGGGUGAAAUCCCGGAGCUCAACUUCGGAAUUGCCUUUGAUACUGUCUGUCUUGAGUCCGGGAGAGGUGAGUGGAAUUCCCGGUGUAGUGGUGAAAUGCGUAGAUAUUCGCAAGAACACCAGUGGCGAAGGCGGCUCACUGGCCCGGUACUGACGCUGAGGUGCGAAAGCGUGGGGAGCAAACAGG
rnacentral:rRNA from 1 species